UACAGAGGUCCCGAGCGUUUGUUCGGAUUCACUGGGCGUAAAGGGUGCGUAGGCGGUCGGGUAAGUCUGAUGUGAAAUCUCACAGCUUAACUGUGAAACUGCAUUGGAUACUAUUCGGCUUGAGAGUUGGAGGGGGGACUGGAAUUCUUGGUGUAGCAGUGAAAUGCGUAGAUAUCAAGAGGAACACCAGUGGCGAAGGCGAGUCCCUGGACAACUUCUGACGCUGAGGCACGAAAGCUAGGGGAGCAAACAGG
rnacentral:rRNA from 1 species